CUCAAGGAGGACGAUUUCACCUUCCUGAUGGCGCACAAGAACCGAAAGAGGAGGAUCGCCUGCACGGCCU